rnacentral:tRNA from 1 species
GCCGGAGUGGCGGAACUGGCAGACGCGCAGGAUUCAAAAUCCUGUCAGGUUUACCCCUGGUGUGGGUUCGAUUCCCACCUCCGGCA